GUGGGGAAUCUUAGACAAUGGGGGAAACCCUGAUCUAGCCAUGCCGCGUGAGCGAUGAAGGCCUUAGGGUUGUAAAGCUCUUUCAGCUGGGAAGAUAAUGACGGUACCAGCAGAAGAAGCCCCGGCUAACUCCGUGCCAGCAGCCGCGGUAAUACGGAGGGGGCUAGCGUUGUUCGGAAUUACUGGGCGUAAAGCGCGCGUAGGCGGACCAGAAAGUUGGAGGUGAAAUCCCAGGGCUCAACCUUUGAACUUCCUUCAAAACUCCUGGUCUGGAGUUCGAGAGAGGUGAGUGGAAUUCCGAGUGUAGAGGUGAAAUUCGUAGAUAUUCGGAAGAACACCAGUGGCGAAGGCGACUCACUGGCUCGGUACUGACGCUGAGGUGCGAAAGCGUGGGGAGCAAACAGGAUUAGAAACCCCUGUAGUCC
rnacentral:rRNA from 1 species